rnacentral:tRNA from 1 species
GCCAAAGUAGCUCAGUGGCAGAGCAGCUCACUCGUAAUGAGCAGGUCGCGGGUUCGACUCCCAUCUUUGGCU